GACGAACGCUGGCGGCGUGCUUAACACAUGCAAGUCGAACGGAAAGGCCCCUUUGGGGGUACUCGAGUGGCGAACGGGUGAGUAACACGUGAGUAACCUGCCCUUGACUUCGGGAUAACUUCAGGAAACUGGGGCUAAUACCGGAUAGGAAUCCUUGCUGCAUGGUGGGGGUUGGAAAGCUUCGGCGGUUUUGGAUGGACUCGCGGCUUAUCAGCUUGUUGGUGGGGUAGUGGCUUACCAAUGCUUUGACGGGUAGCCGGCCUGAGAGGGCGACCGGCCACAUUGGGACUGAGAUACGGCCCAGACUCCUACGGGAGGCAGCAGUGGGGAAUAUUGCACAAUGGGCGGAAGCCUGAUGCAGCAACGCCGCGUGCGGGAUGACGGCCUUCGGGUUGUAAACCGCUUUCAGCAGGGGCGAAGCUUGUGGUGACGGUACCUGCAGAAGAAGCACCGGCUAACUACGUG
rnacentral:rRNA from 1 species